UACGGAGGGGGCUAGCGUUGUUCGGAAUUACUGGGCGUAAAGCGCACGUAGGCGGCUUUGCAAGUUAGAGGUGAAAGCCCAGGGCUUAACCCUGGAAUUGCCUUUAAAACUGCAUCGCUAGAAUUGUGGAGAGGUGAGUGGAAUUCCGAGUGUAGAGGUGAAAUUCGUAGAUAUUCGGAAGAACACCAGUGGCGAAGGCGACUCACUGGACACAUAUUGACGCUGAGGUGCGAAAGCGUGGGGAGCGAACGGG
rnacentral:rRNA from 1 species